AUUGAACGCUGGCGGCAGGCCUAACACAUGCAAGUCGAGCGGGGUUUUCGGACCUAGCGGCGGAUGGGUGAGUAAUGCGUAGGAAGCUACCCGAUAGAGGGGGAUACCAGUUGGAAACGACUGCUAAUAGCGCAUAAUGUCUACGGACCAAAGGGACGGACCUUCGGGCCACCUGCUAUCUGAAGCUCCGACGUGGGAUUAGCUAGUUGGUGAGGUAAUGGCUCACGAAGGCGACGAGCCCUAGCGGGUUUGAGAGGAUGAUCAGCCACACGGGAACUGAGGCAAGGUCGAGACUCCUACGGGAGGAAGCAGUGGGGAAUAUUGGACAAGGGGCCAAAGCCUGAUCCCGCCAUGCCGCGUGUGUGAAGAAGGCCUUCGGGUUGUAAAGCACUUUCAGUAGGGAGGAAGCGUUGUGUGUUAAUAGUACACAGCGUUGACGUUACCUACAGAAGAAGCACCGGCUAACUCUGUGCCAGCCGCCGCCGUAAAAC
rnacentral:rRNA from 1 species